GAAGUCGACAUCGACCCUGACUCCCAGCUGCGACUUCGACCCUGACUCCCUACUGCAACUUCGACAUCGCCUCCUUGCUUCGAAGUCGGCAUCGCCUCCCUGCAAAGAAGUCGACAUCGCCUCCUUGCUUCGAAGUCGGCAUCGCCUCCCUGCAAAGAAGUCGGCAUCGCCUCCCUGCAAAGAAGUCGACAUCGCCUCCCUGCUUCGAAGUCGACGUCGACUUCGACUUCCUGCCACGAAUUUGACAUUGACUUCCUCUGGUAAGUCCUUGAUUUGAGUUGUUCCUUUCGGUUUCAAUUUGCUUCAGUUGUUGUAUUGUUGAUUUUGACUUCAAUUUACUUGUGUUUUCUUCGAUUUGAGUCUAUUGCUUCUGUUGUUGAUUUUAAUUUGCUUCUGUUGUUGAUUUACAUGUGCUUCAGUAGCUCAAUCUUGCUUGUGUUCACUAAAUUUGCCGAUUUGAGUCUCUUGGCUUUGCUGAUUUGAGUCUCUUGUUGCUUGUCUUUGAUGAUUUGUCUUAUAAUGCUGCCUGGUUAGGCUAUGUCAGGUGUUGGCUCUCUUAACACCAGUGGUUCAGCCACUGGUUCAGCUUCUACUCCAUCUGCCUCGAGUGGUGGUGUUGAGGAUUCCGGCAAACCUCUAUGGAGAUAUGUGAAAAGACAAGAAAAGGAUGGUGGUGGUGGAGGAAAUGUCUCAUGGGAUUGUAAUUUUUGCCACAUGCAAAAAACUACUUCUUACACUAGGGUGAGAGCACAUUUGUUGAAGGUGCCUAGGUUAGGGAUUUCCGGUUGUAAAAAUGUUACUAGUAAAGAUAUUGCGGAGAUGCAAAGAUUGGAGGAGGAAGCUAAGAAUAGAGAAAUGGCAAGUGCGCCAAAGAAAGUACCACUACCACCUUCUUCUAUGUUUUCGGGUGGAAUGUAUGCAAUUGGUUUUGAAUCAAAGAAAAGAAAGGAGGUUGGAAGUUCUAAUCCGCCUUCUCCUCUUGAGAAGUCUUUUAAUUUGCAAGCUCGAAAUCAAUUACAUGCUCUGAUUGCAAGAUUUUUCUAUGCAUCAGGCUUGCCAUUUCACUUGGCAAGGAGUCCAUACUAUGUGAGUAUGUUUUUAUUUGCAUGUAGCCAUAAUUUGGCAGGUUAUUUGCCUCCAGGGUAUAACUUGUUGAGAACAACUUUGCUCCAACAAGAAAAGGCAAAUGUGGAGCGAUUGUUGCAGCCAAUCAAAAGCACAUGGCGAGAGAAAGGAGUAAGCAUUGUGAGUGAUGGAUGGAGUGACUCACAAAGAAGGCCUUUGAUCAAUUUUAUGGCGGUGUCUGAAAGUGGGCCUAUGUUUCUAAAGGCAGUUGAUUGUUCUGGUGAGACCAAAGACAAAUUCUUUAUCUUUAACUUGAUGAAAGAAGUGAUUGAAGAAGUUGGUCCUCAGAAUGUGGUUCAAGUGAUUACAGAUAAUGCGAAGAAUUGUGCAGGUGCAGGACUUCUUGUUGAAGGAUUGUAUCCUAACAUUGUUUGGACACCAUGUGUGGUUCACACACUCAAUCUUGCUUUGCAGAAUAUUUGUGCGGCGAAGAAUUUGGAAAACAAUCAAGUAGUAUAUGAUGAGUGUUCUUGGAUUACAAUUGUUUCAGGUGAUGUUACUAUCAUCAAGAAUUUUAUCAUGAACCAUUCCAUGAGGUUAGCCAUUUUCAAUGAGUUUGUGCCUUUGAAGUUGCUAUCGAUUGCUACUACUCGAUUUGCUUCUGUACUUGUGAUGUUGAAGCGAUUCAUGCUUAUAAAGAGAAGUCUAAUGAGUAUGGUGAUUAGUGAGCAGUGGAAUUCUUAUCGGGAGGAUGAUGCGGGGAAGGCUAAAUUUGUGAAGGAGAAGGUGCUAGAUGAUGUUUGGUGGGACUCCAUUGAUUAUAUACUCAAAUUCACAGCUCCUAUAUAUGAUAUGCUUAGGGCUUGUGAUACGGACAAGCCUUGUCUUCACUUAGUCUAUGACAUGUGGGAUUCUAUGAUUGAAAAAGUGAGACUUGCAAUAUAUAGGAAAGAAGGAAAGCGAGUUGAGGAGUCUUCAAAGUUUUACGAUGUGGUGCAUGGAAUUCUAGUUAGUCGUUGGAACAAGAACAAUACUCCCCUCCAUUGCUUAGCUCAUUCACUCAAUCCAAGGUAUUAUAGUGAGAAAUGGCUUAAUGAAGAUCCUACUCGGGUUCCUCCACACAAAGAUGUUGAAGUUGCUAGGGAGAGAAUGAAAUGCUUGAAGAAGUACUUCUCUAACUCCGAAGAGAGGAUGAUGGUAACAAUGGAGUUUGUAAACUUUUCUAGCAUGUCGGGAGAUUUUGCAGAUUCUGAUUCUAUUCACCAUCGUAAUGAUAUGGAUCCUAAGAGUUGGUGGGUUACAUUUGGUGCAAGUGCACCUUUGUUGCAAAAUCUAGCUUUGAAGAUACUUGUGCAACCUUCGUCUUCAUCAUGUGCUGAGAGGAAUUGGAGCACUUACUCGUUUGUGCAUUCAGUGAGGAGAAAUCAGAUGGCACCAAAACGUGCUGAAGACUUGGUUUUCAUUCAUAGCAACCUUCGUCUCUUAUCCAGAAGACAACCAGAUUAUAGUAAAGGAGAGAGCAAGAUGUGGGACAUUGCAGGUGACAAGUUUGGCACAUUUGAGGAUGUUGGGGAACUAGAGGUUGCACAACUCUCUCUUGAUGAGCCAGACUUCGAGUGUGUAGUCUUUGCUGAUGAUGGUGAUGAGGGUAUAUUGGGUGAAAGUCAUGAAACAAAGGAAGUUUGAGCAAUUAAAAAAAACAAACAUAACUAGCUGAGGCUUGAGAGUGUUAAUUUGUCAUUGUAAUUGCAUUUCUUUUGGUUACAUUAGUCAUUGUAAUUGCAUUUCUUUUGUUACAUGGAAGUUUGAGCAAUUACAAAAAAAAAAUCAAACGUAUCCUAAACGUUUCCGUAUCCUAUUUUUUUGAAAAAUGACGUAUCCCCGUAUCUGUAUCGUAUCGUAUUCGUAUCUCGUAUCUGUAUCGGUGUUUCUUAG